rnacentral:rRNA from 1 species
GAUGAACGCUGGCGGCGUGCCUAAUACAUGCAAGUCGAGCGAACAGACGAGGAGCUUGCUCCUCUGACGUUAGCGGCGGACGGGUGAGUAACACGUGGAUAACCUACCUAUAAGACUGGGAUAACUUCGGGAAACCGGAGCUAAUACCGGAUAAUAUAUUGAACCGCAUGGUUCAAUAGUGAAAGACGGUUUUGCUGUCACUUAUAGAUGGAUCCGCGCCGCAUUAGCUAGUUGGUAAGGUAACGGCUUACCAAGGCAACGAUGCGUAGCCGACCUGAGAGGGUGAUCGGCCACACUGGAACUGAGACACGGUCCAGACUCCUACGGGAUGCAGCAGUAGGGAAUCUUCCGCAAUGGGCGAAAGCUUGACGGAGCAACGCCGCGUGAGUGAUGAAGGUCUUCGGAUCGUAAAACUCUGUUAUUAGGGAAGAACAAAUGUGUAAGUAACUAUGCACGUCUUGACGGUACCUAAUCAGAAAGCCACGGCUAACUACGUG